ACAACUUGAGGGGGAGUAAAUGAUGACAGAAUUUUCAUUUUUGGGUAAAAUAUCCCUUUUAAGUUUUUGUUACUAUGUCAUGACUUCAGUUUAGUACAAAAUUAACUGUUAAAGUUGCAAACAAGUAGUGAAAAAAGCAAUACAUGCAAAGCGUUGCUCACACUGUAACUGUUUAUUGCUUCAGUUUUAUUAACUGGACUGUUUAUUGCUGUAACAAGAACAUUGUGUCAUUGAAUAGAAUUAAUAACAGAUCACGAGUGAGGAGGAAGUAAGAUGUGUUAACUAACCAAACAGAGGAAGCACACUGCAGUACUUCGCAUUCCCCGAGAGCACAAUAGAGAGGUUGAUUCUGGGGCUGAAAUGGCCCUGAAUAUGCGGAAGGAGGAAAAGGGUGGUGCUGAGUCAGCUGCUCUCCCAUGGGAGUCUGGAAUUAGAGGUGGUUUCUGAGAAUCAGCAAAUAAAUGUAGAUAAGCGAUAAAUGUUUAUAAACAUGAAUAUUUGGUGGUUUGGUGGAGACCUUGGGAUGUAGGUUUACUUGUUUCUGGUAAAGGGAAAGUAAAUUCAAGCAGUUACUGGGUAAUGAAAUGAUGCAGCACAUGACUAACAUGUGAUCAGAGUCGGAAUUAGCAGAAGGGAAGAUUUCAUAACUGAAAGAUCUUUGCAAAAUCAGUGACACACAGUAUUGCCCUUAAAUUUAAAUGUUCUUGUAAAAAAUAAUUGCUCUUUAUAGUUUUGAAUGCACACUUCUAUAGUGUACUUCAAAUCUUAAAAGUAUAUUUAAAAAACUGUAGGCCUGCUUGCAGAUAAUAUAAUAUGAAUGAAAUUAAAGACGACUUAAGUGAACUUAAAGAGAGUAAACAAUGUUUGACAAUGUUUCUUAGGACACUUAAGUACACUUUUAUAAAUAUGCACUUUUUGUCAAAUUAAAAGUUUUACAUAUCUGCUCUUUGAUAAUUAGAACCUACCAGUUUAUUGAUGAAAGUAUAUGAUAGUGAAAUAUGAAGGCCAAGUAUGGUAACCCACAAUAUGGGUCAAAGCAACUAAUAAGGUCAAUUGCAACAUUCUGCAACAUUGUACUAAACUGCAUUAUUCAGGCAAGUGAUUUCCUACAUAGCUUUGCUAUUUUUGUGUCUCUUGUAUCUCUUUAUGCUCUCUUUCUCUUCUUUUUAACCCAUACUCAGAAUUUGUCCUCUGCAUUUAACCUAUCCAAGUUUUUGCACACACAUAGGAGUAGUGAGUAGUGAACACACAAACACCCGGAGCAAUGUGCAGCCAUUUUGCUAUGACGCCCGGAGAGAGAUUGGGGGUUAGAAUUGCUCAAGCGCACCUCAGUCAUUUCCUGCCGGUAUUGAGACACGAACCCGCAAUCUUCAGGUUACCGGUCUUACUUUCUAACCAUUAGGCCACAACUGCGAAUAAAAGAUCCCACCGAGAUUUGAGCUCAGAUCACUGGAUUCAGAGUGCUAACCAUUACACCAUGGAGCCAGCCAGGGGCUCUUCUCAUGGACCCCGGACGAGUACACACACACAGUUUAGGUCCAAUAAAGCCACGCCUCCAUCCAUGAUUGAUUGAUUGGCAGUCUGUCUCUGGAUAAAAGCUUUGCAAAUAAAAGAUUAUACUUCAUUUACCAUCAGUACCACUCUACACAAGACACUCUAUAGGAAUACUCCAACAUCCAGUGAAUUUUAAUCCAGUUCCAGUUUCUUCAGGAUGAGGCACAAUGAGUUGCAUUACACCGGGGCAGUAUUGUGCUUCCUACUGUUUUCCGCAACAGGUGCUCAGCCCUUGAGCAUUUUAAAAAUUGUUGAGGGUCUCCAGUCAACCCCACAGACCUACCCUACACCCCUUUAUUCAUUUUCCCUCUGCAUGGAGAUCACCAACCGCGUCUUCAACGACUCCCUCCUUAACAAAACCUCACCGCAGUACAAGCGGAUGUAUGCCGAGGUUUCUGGAGUUUUGGACAUGGCCUUUAAUUGCUCUAACUGUGACACGAGAGAGACUUACAGAGGUGUAUCAAAUAUAGAGUUCAGGAGCGAGCCUAUGAUGGCGAAUUGUACCAUUCAGUUUCAGACCGUUUUUAUCAACCAUGUUGUGAUCAAAUAUUUGUUCCUGAGAGCCAUAGAUAAUAAUAAUAGUACUCAACUAAAUGGUCUUGCACUCAACAGACAGUACACUGAUGAAACAGUCACACCUGCCUGGCUUUUUGAAAGACCCACAACUCCUGUGGAAACAGCAGCUCCCCUUGUAGGAAGUGGUGGUCUUUGGCUUCCUGGUUGGGCCAUUGCAUUGCUGGUGUUAGCAUGCAUCAUCAUACUGCUUCUCCUCAUCCUCCUAAUACUGAUGUGCUGUUGGUGCUGCAGAAGAAGAAACAAAAAGGAAGAAACAACCACCAUAGUAGAACAUGCACCUUAUCAGAGGACAUCUUUCAAAGAACAUCUUGCCAAUCCCACAUAUAUGCCACACACACCUGAGAGAAGCCCAAACUACCCAGUCCUGGGAGAGCCGGAUGUACAGCAUGCAGGGAUGUACACGAUGAACCCUCAGAGAUGAUAACCACAACACCACUAUAAGAGAGAGCCAUGGAAUAACUGAUGCUAUGAAGGUUCAGAAUGGUAAAGCGAUUUCUCUCGUAGAAGAUGCUGGUUUCUUCAAAAAGAUUCUAGAAAUGUGGACUUGUCAUCAUUACCAUAUGUAAUAUAAGUAUUAUAACCAAUUUUAACAGAGGAUGUAACUUUAUUUAUUCUGCACUAUUUAUGUUACACAGAUAUGGGGAUUUGGGUCUGUGAACUUUUGCAUCUCAGCAACUCAGUAUAACAUACCAGGGUUAGUUGUCACACUUUUUAGGGGGUGCCUGGCACAGGAUGAUCAUAUUUGGAAAUACACUCUGCUAUAGGAUAUUCAUUAGCAUGCUGAUGAAAUGUACUCAAAAUAAUAUAUAAAACAGCAGGUUACCCAAGAUAAAAACCAUUGGUUUGGCCAACAGGAAUUGCAAUUAUGAAAUUGUAUCAAAUAAAUCAUAUGUAAAACACAUGCAACAAUCACUUCCCUCUGUGACAACUUGCCCCGGUCUCUUUGAUAUCUUAGGCUACAGAAGAAGAGGUUGGCUUUAAUGUAUCUCCAGAUUACAAUGUUAUCAAUUCAUAAACAUCUUUUCAUUUGAAAUCUGUAUUCAUGUUAUUUGUAUGGACAUAUACAAUCAUUUACACUUUCUGAGGGAAGAACUGUUGUAAUAUUUAAUGCAAUUUAAAAUUCAACAAAACAAUAUAUUACACAAUACAGUAUAUAUACCACUUACAUUAUAAAUAAAUUCU